AUUGAACGCUAGCGGGAUGCUUUACACAUGCAAGUCGAACGAGUGGCGGACGGGUGAGUAAUAUAUCGGAACGUGCCCAGUCGCGGGGGAUAACUACUCGCAAGAGUGGCUAAUCCCGCAUACUAUUGGAGCUGCCGCUAUCGGAUUCGCUAGUAGGUGGGGUAAAGGCUCACCAAGGCAACGAUCCGUAGCUGGUUUGAGAGGGCGACCAGCCACACUGGGACUGAGACAAGGCCCAGACUCCUACGUGAGGCAGCAGUGGGGAAUUUUGGACAAUGGGGGAAACCCUGCUCCAGCCAUCCCGCGUGUAUGAGAAGGCCUUCGGGUUGUAAAGUACUUUUGGCAGAGAAGCGGUAUCUGCAGAAGAAGCACCGGCUAACUACGUGCCAGCAGCCGCGGUAAUAC
rnacentral:rRNA from 1 species